rnacentral:misc_RNA from 1 species
GUGGGUCCUGGCUUCGGAGGAAACUUAUAUGUUUGUUGCGGAACAAGACCCGCGCAGAGCAAGAGGGGAGCACGGGGCCACCGACCACCGCACAGAACUCCUGCAACAAGUUGAACGGGGCAGCUUAUACUACAAAGGGUCUGCGAACUUGGUGGCGAGUUCUAUACUUAAUAUAACGCGGAGGCAUUUAAAUUAGUCGCUAUUCAAUAAAAGGCAGGCAAUUAUGCUAUUUCUAUAUAAUAAGUAUAUAGGUAGAUAGCAUAGGUUAAGUAGUUAAAUUUUUAGUGUUAGAAUUAGUCAUCAGUUUUUUGCAAGUAAGUCUUAGUAUUUAGUUAAAAGUUCAAUGUAAUAAAACUUAAGAUCAACAGUAAUAAAUAAUUUGUUAGUAAGUAAGUACACGUAUUAUUUAAGAAUAUAAAACUUGUAAAGAUAGUUAAGCAUAGAAUUAAGAUCCUGUAGUAUAAGAGUAACAAAUUAUAGAAUUAAGAGAUUGUUAGAGUUAAUAUAAGUUUGUAAUGGUAAUGAUAACAUCACCAAGACAAAUAAAAAUUUUAUGUAAAAAAUAACAACUGAAAAACAACAGCCCUGUUAAAACAAAAAAUAAUAUAAAACUAAACUAUGUGUAUAGAAAAAAAAAAAAAAAAAAAAAAAAAAAAAAAAAAAAAAAAAAAAAAAAAAAAAAAAAAAAAACCUAACCUAACCUAACC